AUUGCUCUGCGUCUUUGCCCCAUUGACUCCUUGUUUUCCAAGCGAAAAUACUACAGGUCUCCCCGCAACCCAAGCCCCCGAGUUUGAUUGCAUCAAGAAACUCGUAGACUUUGGGAUGGAGAAGCCUACAAGUUCCGGCCGUGGAGAGAAGCGGAAACACGAAGGGAAGGAGCAAGCGGAAGAGGAACCGUCAUGGGUCCAAAGUAAGUGCGCUGAGGACGAUUUGCAAGAUCUGGUGAAAAAAUGUCUGCUAUAGCCGAAGGAUCUGAUCCAUUGGCGGAGCGCUUUUGGAGAGAUUUUUCCAUCUGUUGGGAAAUAAGAAAUUAUCCUUUUUACUUCUUUUGUGAGGCAUGGCCUGGCUCUUCCGACUUGUGACUUUCUCCAAGAUCUUUUGUAUUAUUAUGGAAUUCAGAUUCACCAUCUGACCCCGCAAUCAGUCUUGUACAUCGGUGUUUUGUUCACUUUUGCGAAGCUUUCCUCGGAAUUGAGCCAUAUUUCGAAUUAUUUCGGAGUUUGUAUUCUUUGAAUCCUUUUCCCUCUUUGAAAGAAAUGGGAUGCAUUGGCUGUGCGGAUUUACAAUUGCGUCCAGAGAUGGUUGAUAAGUAUCUGGAGUGGCCCGAGAUUCAUGUUGAUCCAAAAUGGAAAGAGGAUUGGUUUUAUAUUGGAAAUCCUUCUUCUCUGCCUGAGUUUUCUCUGAUGCCACCCAUGUACUUUCGCGAGUGGGUGCUGAUGAACAGUGCAAGUAGUGAGGAUCAAGUAGAGGAAUUAUUGGGCCUCAUAUUCUAUCUGCGUGAGAUGAAAGUAACAGCAGCAUCUGUUGUCUUCAACUGGAAACAACGCCAAAUUCAGCCAUUGGAGAAACGAAAAAAUUUUGGUUUCCAGUAUGAGGGUACUGAAGAUAGUUCCCGGUUCUCUACAGAGCCAGUGGAGAGAGUACAAGGGUUGAGGAUAAUUCGAAGCAUAUUUCCAGAUCAACUCAAUGUUCCAUAUGUGCCCACUGUGUUUCGCUCCAGCAAUCCUCCUUCGCAGGUGGAUGUGGGGGUUUUCAAGAGUGAUCCUCCUAUCCCCAGUUCCAUUGAAGCGAAGAACUAGAAGACCUUCCAUACGCCUGUGAUCUUUGAUAUUGAUGAACCAAUAAUUGAAGAAGAUCCAAUAUCAUUAUCUGAUUCUGAGGAAGAUAGUCCAGCGGUAGCUCCAAGGCCCACUGAUGGAAGUUCUGCAGUGCCUUUCGGCAGCGGAGAUAGAGUGCCUGCAGAAUCUUCAACAUUGAGGGCUUCUGAUGCGGGCGAUCCUCGCCCAACUGCAAGUGAUACUGCAGCUGCCACUGUCGUUACCUCUGCGGUGCCUACCUCAAUACCUAUGACUGGUCCAAAUCCAGUGCGUAGGGUACUGCGAGUACCGAUGAAACUUGUCAUGAAGCGGGCAAAGAUGACUGCUGCUGAACUGAAUCUGCCAAAUCUGCAGCCUGUUGGUGCUCAAACGAAGGCUUCAGCCCCCGAGUCAUCGAAAGGUACCCCCGAGUCAUCGAAAGGUACUCAGGGUGAGGCCAUACCGGACGCCCCCCCACCUCCAGCCGUGACCGAGGUAGCGAGUACUGGGGAAGAUGAAAGGAGCGAAACUGCUCAAUCUGCGGAACCAUCCAGUUGUUUGGGUUCACCUCCCCUGAGCUCUAUUCUGUUGAACGCUUCAACGCCUGGUGCCACUUCUUCUGAACAUGUGAAUGAAAUCCCCAUUGGACUAAUCGAAGAUGAUCUUCUUAGAGCUGACUUGUGCAAUGAUGUGGCGAACUCACUGCAUUGAGUUUACAAGCAUUAUAAGAAAGUAGUCCUGCGAUCCAGGUUGAAGUCUUCCAUCCUGGCUGUGAAGUCUAAAGGACUCUGGCAGAUUCCUAUGCUAAACAGGAACUUGCUGAAAAAGAUGCUAUCAUUGAAGAUUUUAGAAGGCAGCUGUCUGCUGUUCGAGCAGGUGGAAAUGACGCCGAGGCUGGGGGUUCUUCUAGUGUGAACCAAGAACUAGCUCGAAGCCAGAGGGAGAGGGAUCAGGUUCUUCGAGAUUGCGCAGAGUUGCGACAAGCAUAUGCAGAUCUCGAAAAGUAUAAAAAGGUCGUUGAAAAGCAACUAGAUAGGGCUGGCAAGAAGCUUGCGGAGAAUGUGGCGACCAUCCAGAAGCUAAUCGCGGCAAAGAAAGAAAAGAUAAAGAGAUUUUUGAUCUGGAGGGAGCAGCUCGAGUUGUCAUUGACAUGGUGCAGCCUCCACAUCCUAGCGUUGUAGACUCGAGGUCCAUUUUGGAACGUUUGAGGCUAGUCCCUGGGUGGUUGAAGGGUGCGCCGAAGAAGCUAGCUCCAAAGAAGUAGUUUGAUGCAAUGACUUGCUGUGUAUACUUUGUCACGAGUUCAAUCUAGAAUGUUCAAUUACUCGUAAUGUUGUAGAACCAUACGAGUUUGAGAUCUUAAAUGAUUGUGUGCGUAUAGCAUGUCUUGAAA